GACGUGUAGAAAGCAUGUCUAGACAGAAUCUGACGACUGUCUCCAUGUGCACACUUUGUUCCCCACACUGAAGGCUACCUCCUUUGAACAGAUUCCCAGCGACUGGGGUUACUGAAUCAAAGGGAAUGAGCAUUCGAAGAGUUCAACCCACAGCCAGGAAACUUUCCACAAGGCCCAACCAUCCACACAGCCACCAGCAAGCAUAAGAGAGCCUGCCUCACUGUGUGCUGGAAGCUGGGCUGUUUUCAUUAUGUCUGUUCUUUAAAGUGUUCAUUUUAUAGGCAAAACCGACCACCUUGCUCUGAUUUGUAUGUCUUUGAUUACUAGUGGGGGUGAACAUUUUUCCAUAUGUUUGCCUACUGAAGGCAUCUCUUCGAGGAUUUACCUAUUUGUGUGACACAGACACUAUUAAAGGAGGUUAAUGUUUUACAAGAUGGCUCUGGGGGCUGUGCAGGGAGUGACAGGGAGCAGCGAGGGAACUACUGCAAUGGUCUUGGUGACAGAUGAUCAGGCUAGGAUCAUGAUGGAGGUUGCAGUGGGUGGAGGCACGGGAAGGGGCGAGAUCAAGAAGGACAAGUCAACCCAACCCAGGGGCUGACAGCAGACAGUGGAUGCAGCAGAGGGAGUGGUUGGGGGGCCGCAGGUUUCAGGUUGACUAGAUGAAUAGAAGGAGGUGCUGUGUGCUGAGAGGGUGUCCAGGUGGACACACACAUACACUCCAAGGUUUUCAGAGCCUCUCCUGGGUUCGUCCCUUAAGUAGGAUAGCAGAAAAGGCAGGGGCAGAGGGUCUGAGGCAGGCAGCCUUCUUUGAAAGAGAGCAGGGGAGCUGGGGUUUGG
rnacentral:lncRNA from 1 species